rnacentral:rRNA from 1 species
GACGAACGCUGGCGGCGUGCUUAACACAUGCAAGUCGAGCGGUAAGGCCCUUUCGGGGGUACACGAGCGGCGAACGGGUGAGUAACACGUGGGUGACCUGCCCUCAGCUCUGGGAUAAGCCUGGGAAACCGGGUCUAAUACCGGAUAUGACUCCAUGACGCAUGUUGUGGGGUGGAAAGCCUUGUGCGGCUGAGGAUGGGCCCGCGGCCUAUCAGCUUGUUGGUGGGGUGAUGGCCUACCAAGGCGACGACGGGUAGCCGGCCUGAGAGGGCGACCGGCCACACUGGAACUGAGACACGGCCCAGACUCCUACGGGAGGCAGCAGUGGGGAAUUGUUCGCAAUGGGCGCAAGCCUGACGACGCAACGCCGCGU